GAUGAAGAACGUAGCGAAAUGCGAUAAGUAAUGUGAAUUGCAGAAUUCAGUGAAUCAUCGAAUCUUUGAACGCACAUUGCGCCCGCCAGUAUUCUGGCGGGCAUGCCUGUUCGAGCGUCAUUUCAACCAUCAAGCCCUGCUUGCGUUGGGGUCCUGCGGCUGCCCGCAGGCCCUGAAAACCAGUGGCGGGCUCGCUAGUCACACCGAGCGCAGUAGAUUACUCUUCGCUCAGGGCGUGUGGCGGGUUCCAGCCGUGAAACCCCCUACUUCUCAAGGUUGACCUCGGAUCAGGUAGGAAUACCCGCUGAACUUAAGCAUAUCAAUAAGCGGAGGA
rnacentral:misc_RNA from 1 species